UAGAAAGAUGGGUAAGACAUGGUCCUUA
rnacentral:piRNA from 1 species